GGUGUCUUGGCUAAGGUGUCUUGGCUAAGGUGCCUUGGCUAAGGUGUCUCGGCUAAUGUGUCUUGGCUAAUGUGUCUUGGCUAAGGUGUCUUGGCUAAGGCGUCUUGGCUAAUGUGUCUUGGCUAAUGUGUCUUGGCUAAGGUGUCUUGGCUAAGGUGUCUUGGCUAAUGUGUCUCGGCUAAUGUGUCUUGGCUAAGGUGUCUUGGCUAAGGUGUCUUGGCUAAUGUGUCUCGGCUAAUGUGUCUUGGCUAAGGUGUCUUGGCUAAGGUGUCUUAGCUAAGGUGUCUUGGCUAAGGUGUCUUGGCUAAUGUGUCUCGGCUAAUGUGCCUUGGCUAAGGUGUCUUGGCUAAUGUGUCUUGGCUAAGGUGUCUUGGCUAAGGUGUCUUGGCUUAUGUGUCUUGGCUAAUGUGUCUUUGCUAAUGUGUCUUGGCUAAGGUGUCUUGGCUAAGGUGUCUUGGCUAAGGUGUCUUGGCUAAGGUGUCUUGGCUAAUGUGUCUUGGCCAAGGUGUCUUGGCUAAUGUGUCUCGGCUAAGGUGUCUUGGCUAAGGUGUCUUGGCUAAUGUGUCUUGGCUAAGGAG